GAGGGUAUAGCUCAAAGUGGAAGAGCACAUGCUUAGCGUGCAUGAGGUCCUGGGUUCAAUCCCCAGCACCUCCU
rfam:Camelus ferus unplaced genomic scaffold scaffold706, whole genome shotgun sequence.